rnacentral:rRNA from 1 species
UACGGAGGGUGCGAGCGUUAUCCGGAAUUACUGGGUUUAAAGGGUGCGUAGGCGGCCAGGUAAGUCAGGAGUGAAAGUUUGCGGCUCAACCGUAAAAUUGCUUUUGAUACUGCCAGGCUAGAAUUAGGUUGAGGUCAGCGGAAUGUGGCAUGUAGCGGUGAAAUGCAUAGAUAUGCCAUAGAACACCAAUUGCGAAGGCAGCUGGCUAGACCUGGAUUGACGCUGAGGCACGAAAGCGUGGGGAGCGAACAGG